rnacentral:rRNA from 1 species
AUUGAACGCUGGCGGCAUGCCUUACACAUGCAAGUCGAACGGUAACAGGUCCUCGGAUGCUGACGAGUGGCGAACGGGUGAGUAAUACAUCGGAACGUGCCUAGUAGUGGGGGAUAACUACUCGAAAGAGUGGCUAAUACCGCAUGAGAUCUACGGAUGAAAGCAGGGGAUCGCAAGACCUUGUGCUACUAGAGCGGCCGAUGGCAGAUUAGGUAGUUGGUGGGAUAAAAGCUUACCAAGCCGACGAUCUGUAGCUGGUCUGAGAGGACGAUCAGCCACACUGGGACUGAGACACGGCCCAGACUCCUACGGGUGGCAGCAGUGGGGAAUUUUGGACAAUGGGCGCAAGCCUGAUCCAGCAAUGCCGCGUGCAGGAUGAAGGCCUUCGGGUUGUAAACUGCUUUUGUACGGUACGAAAAGCCCUGGGUUAAUACCCUGGGGUCAUGACGGUACCGUAAGAAUAAGCACCGGCUAACUACGUGCCAGCCGCCGCCGUAA